rnacentral:rRNA from 1 species
GACGAACGCUGGCGGCGUGCCUAAUACAUGCAAGUCGAGCGCAGGAAGUCAUCCGAACCCUUCGGGGGGACGUUGACGGAAUGAGCGGCGGACGGGUGAGUAACACGUAAAGAACCUGCCCUCAGGUCUGGGAUAACCACGAGAAAUCGGGGCUAAUACCGGAUGGGUCAUCGGACCGCAUGGUCCGAGGAUGAAAGGCGCUCCGGCGUCGCCUGGGGAUGGCUUUGCGGUGCAUUAGCUAGUUGGUGGGGUAAUGGCCCACCAAGGCGACGAUGCAUAGCCGACCUGAGAGGGUGAUCGGCCACACUGGGACUGAGACACGGCCCAGACUCCUACGGGAGGCAGCAGUAGGGAAUCUUCCACAAUGGACGAAAGUCUGAUGGAGCAACGCCGCGUGAACGAUGAAGGCCCUCGGGUCGUAAAGUUCUGUUGUAAGGGAAGAACAAGUGCCGCAGGCAAUGGCGGCACCUUGACGGGACCGUGCGAGAAAGCCACGGCGAACUACGU